ACAACUUUCUGCAACGGAUCUCUUGGCUCUCGCAUCGAUGAAGAACGCAGCGAAAUGCGAUAAGUAAUGUGAAUUGCAGAAUUCAGUGAAUCAUCGAAUCUUUGAACGCACCUUGCGCUCCUUGGUAUUCCGAGGAGCAUGCCUGUUUGAGUGUCAUUA
rnacentral:rRNA from 1 species